rnacentral:ncRNA from 1 species
UUCCACUAACCAAAUCAUAGAUUUGGAUGCUCACUUAAGUUGACGAGGUUGGGGAGUUAUCGAAACUUCGGCGGGUGCCCCACGGUAUAGCACUACCGUUAACAGCUGGCAAAACUUUAAAGUGAUUUAAAGUACAAAUCCAGUUUGGUGUUAAA